GACGUAGGUGGCGAACGUUAUCCGGAAUCAUUGGGCGUAAAGGGCGCGUAGGUGGCUUCUUAAGCGUGCGGUGAAAGCCUGGGGCUCAACCCCGGGUCGGCCGUGCGAACUGGGGGGCUGGAGCACUGUAGAGGCAGGCGGAAUUCCGGGUGUGGCGGUGGAAUGCGUAGAGAUCCGGAAGAACACCGGUGGCGAAGGCGGCCUGCUGGGCAGUUGCUGACACUGAGGCGCGACAGCGUGGGGAGCAAACAGG
rnacentral:rRNA from 1 species